rnacentral:rRNA from 1 species
ACCCGCUGAACUUAAGCAUAUCAAUAAGGGGAGGAAAAGAAACCAACAGGGAUUGCCUCAGUAACGGCGAGUGAAGCGGCAAAAGCUCAAAUUUGAAAUCUGGCGUCUUCGGCGUCCGAGUUGUAAUUUGUAGAGGUAGCUUUGGGUGUACAGCCAGGUCUAUGUUCCUUGGAACAGGACGUCCAGGAGGGUGAGAAUCCCGUAAAUGGCUUGGCCAGUGCCUAUGUAUAGCGCCUUCGACGAGUCGAGUUGUUUGGGAAUGCAGCUCUAAGUGGGUGGUAAAUUCCAUCUAAAGCUAAAUACUGGCGAGAGACCGAUAGCGCACAAGUAGAGUGAUCGAAAGGUGAAAAGCACUCCGGAAGGAGAGUUAAACAGCACGUGAAAUUGUUGAAAGGGAAGCGCUUGAGACCAGACUCAGGUAAAGUUGAUCAACCUCCAUUCUUGGUGGUGCACUCUUCUUUGCCCGGGCCAGCAACAGUUUUGGCGGUGGUAUAAAGGUUUAGGGAAUGUGGCUCUCUUCGGGGAGUGUUAUAGCCCUAUUCGUAAUGCUGCCUGUCGAGACUGAGGACCGCGCUUCGGCUAGGUUGUUGGCAUAAUGGUCUU